rnacentral:rRNA from 1 species
UACGUAGGCGGUCUAAUAAGUCAGUGGUGAAAUCCUGCGGCUCAACCGUAGAACUGCCAUUGAUACUGUUAGACUUGAAUAUAGUUGAGGUAGGCGGAAUGUGUUGUGUAGCGGUGAAAUGCUUAGAUAUAACACAGAACACCGAUUGCGAAGGCAGCUUACUAGACUAUUAUUGACGCUGAGGUACGAAAGCGUGGGGAGCGAACAGGAUUAGAUACCCUGGUAGUCC